UUAUAAAUCCCCAGACAAUAAAACAAUGGGAUAGAAAAGCAGGGCUACAUUUUCCAUAUUGAAAACUCAUAACCACACUUUUAUACAUAGCAUAACAGGCUUUCAUUAUACUUUACAUUACUAUUCACCAAGGUCUGAUUUAACAAAUCUACAAAUAUUCACAAGGUUUUCAAAAUGAGGGAGGUCUCAAUCCUUCUACAGGUCGUACUCAAAAUCAUCCUCUUCACCCUCCUCUGAUUCCUCGCUAGGCUUUUCUUGGAAUCCUCCUUUUAAAGAUCUUCCGCCUAAGGGCCUGAAAUUGGUUUUUACAACAACCAAUGAGACGAUGUCUCAGCGAGUCCUACCCCCUAAGACUCGAUUAGGAAACCAAUACACCACCAGGUUACCUAGCACAACACGAGUCAGAUGACUUACCUUGGCAUCAAUUUCCAACCUGCAAUUUAAGGUUAUGCACAUAUGCUUCAUAUAUUGCAUUAAAACAUUCAAUCAAUUCACAACCUCUGGAUCAACUCAUUGAUCAAUCGACCUAGUCGAUUCACAUGUCAGUUAAACCAUCCUUGGGUCACUUCACUUCCCAUCAUCACACCCCCAGCAGUACACUUAGUCACAUAGCUUCAUUAGUGCUCUCGGGCAUUACUUCUGCCAAGGUGUCGUGUAUAAUGGACAGCACUCGUGCGUUCUUUAAGGCGCCGUUUUCACCAAUGAUACUCUCCCUCACCGAACCACGUAUGUCCAUACUGCUGCAUGUAAUAGACAACACUCGUGCGUUUUUUAAGGCGCCGUUUUCACCAGUGAUAUCCUUUAAUCACCGAACCACGUAUGUCUCAUUGCAUCGGUCAUGAUUGGUUUCAGCCGAGAAUUUCCCCAAUUCACUUUCAUAGUGCCCUCUGCUUUACAGCUCAUCAAUGUUAAAUAGUCAUACUCAUACUCGGCCAUCAACCAAUCAAUCACUCAAUUUAAUUCAAUUUGGGAUAAAUCCCUAAUUUGCACAAUCAAUUCAAAUCCGCGCAAUGUAGAGCUCAAAUAAAUAAACGGAUUGCACCACGAUAAUCAGCACGAAAUUCCGGUCACCGGCCAUCCCGGGUGAAUUUCCGGAAAAUAAUUAAAUAAAUAAUUAAUUUCGAAAAUUAAAUAAAUAAAUACGAUAAAUUCAAUUUAGCACAAAUAAAGCUCAAUUAAAUAAACGGACUGCACCACGAUCAUCAGCAUAAAAUCCUGGUCACUGGCCAUUCCAGUUGAAUUUCCGAGAAAUAAAUAAUUAAUUAAAUUAAUUUCGAAAAUUAAUAUUAAAUUCCUAAAAAUUCCUUCUAGG
rnacentral:lncRNA from 1 species